GCCGUGGGCUGAGGGAGAUGGGAGGGCGGGAGGCAGCGCUGGGUGUGUGGGGGGCUGAAGGUAGGGAGCCCUGCGGGAGGCGACGGGAAAGGCCCUGGCCGCCGCUGGGGGCAGGGAGGAGCGGGAGUAGGCCGGAGCGAGGUACUUCUCCUGGGAGCUGGGACGCUGAGCUGCGAAACACCCCACAAAACCGUCGUUCGUCUGUCACGCCGGGUCGUCUCACGGAGUAAAAGUCGAGCUCGUACGACAAGAGGACUUGUUGCCCUGCACGAAAGCUCUGCGUGGCGUGGAGAGCCCGGAGCCGCAGCACCGCGGUGCCAGCAGAGGCAAAACCUCCGCUCCAUCUAUGCUGAGUGCCCUUAAAAAUCUUCUGGGGAGCACCGCGGCCGCCUGUGUCCACGGAGGGUGCGGAGGUUUUAGCCGACAGUGGUCCUGCGUACGUCGUGUUACAAUAAUGCGUGGCUAUAAAACGCAGCGUCACCUUUUUUUCAAGCUUUUUAAAAAUAGCGUGAAGCAUGCUGACAUGAAAAAAGUAAUUCACUGUUCAGUUUCCACCCAUGUAGCUAUGAAACCAUGUAAUUUGUCAACAUCAAAUAGAAAUACUGUUAUGAAAAAAAAGUAAGCAGGGAAUCCUUUAUGUUACACCAAACGAUAUCAAUCUUGGUGGGUUUUCAAAGAAAUAUGUGAGAAGAAACAGUCCUCUAGCAGUUCUUCUAGUCUGUAGUCCUGUCUCAUGUCAGGGUUGAUUCAGUUAUUGUUCAUCAUGUCCCGCAAGUGCAUGUAUGGUUUCCAUGAAUGUCUCUAUGAAGGUGAUUUAACAACUUGUUGCAGUAGCUUGUCCCAUCACUUCAACAGUGGUAUGGUUCCCCCAGUAAUUUGCAUAUUGUCCCUGUUGCCACUUUCAUUUUUGAUAAUUAUUCCACUUCUUUUAUAUAGGCAGGCCAAUGGCAUUGACAUUUAGAUACAGACACUUGAGUUUCUAUUCAGUCUCUUUUUCUAAACAGCACAUACCCAGUUGUCGGUACUUUCUUUAUACCGGUCUUACCUUGCAAACCUUUUGCCAUUCUUAUUUCUUACUUUUUUUUUCCACUAUUGUUUAAAAGAGAAAGUUAAAAAAUGAGUUACCAGAUGACUGUGGUUCUGGCCACACAUUCUGCUUCUGCCACAGUGUGGAUUGACCCCAUCAAACUGAUGUCAUCGAGUGUGUUUUCCUCAUCUCACGUUCUUUACAGGUGCCUCAGUUUGAAUCCCAGGGACUAAUUCUGUUCUCAUUCAAAUCAAUGACACAAUUCCUAGAAAUUUUAGAGAGAUAUAUUUCAUUUUUCCCAUAAUUCAACUGAGUAUAAGGAUAAUUGAAGAAUUAUUAUUAUUAUUAUUAUUAUUAUUAUUAUUCCUAACUGCAGAUACUAACUAGCCUAAAACCACGGUGGUGAUACACUCAAAGGGUUAACCUUGUUGAUGGUCCUGGAGAGGAUUAAAAGCCUUAGAGGGGAAACACAUCAAUUUAUUACCACAUGAUUUUAAUAUUUGCUGUAUUUAAUGCUACUGAGAAUUUGUCAGUAGUCCCAAAUUUAAUGUUUGAAAUACUGUGUUUUAGUCCUCACUUUGUUGAAUAUAUGAAUAUAAUAUCAUAGGGACUUCUACUUGACUUUGCAGUAUUUGACUAUCAAUUUUCCUAACACUGAAGCUACUUAAAAUCAGAUUCUUGCCUUUUUUGCUUAUGCUGUGUAGUACUUUAUUUUUUAUUUGGUCUUACUGAUACCAGUGAGAUUAUCUUGUUGAAGGAGCACUAUUCUGUAUUGGCAAAUGUACUGGUCGUUCAAACCAGUACAAAAAUGUAUAUGUAUAUAGCUGUAAUUCACUUACAUUGAAUAUGCAAUAUAGGGACAUAAAUGUUAGGAUUCUCAGCAAAAACACAGACUUUAAAUAAGUGAAAAAGGACCAAACCCAGCAGUUUGCAAUUCCUGAGCUUUGCAUUUUUUAAAUAUUAAGGAAAACCUUUUGCAUUUAAUAAUGUACAACUUCAAAAGCAUAUUAAAUGUACAGUCUCAAAGAAAUCACAAAUCAUGGGACCAAAGCUUAAAUAUGCUGAGGCAGAGAUGUUUGUUUAUUCUUAAAUUAAAGGCAUCACAUUCAUUCAGCAGUGAGGGCUGCGUUCCUUCAGGGCGAUCAGAAUUGUAUGCUCCUUUUGAUACCGUGCAGGGCAUCUGUUGAAGUCAGUGGAAGAUUUGCCUGAAGACCAAGAGCCAAAGCUGGCUUUUAUGGAGGAGAGUGGGUUUUUUUGCCAUUCUUCCCUGACAUGUCCUGAAUCAUUCAUGGAGAAAGUUCUGUUGCUUACAUCCCUUGUUUCUUACUUUUCCUUCUGUAUUUCUCCCUUCCCCUUCCUGACCUUGCCUUGGUGUUCUUGACCUUUCUUUUUAAUUUCUUCACAACUCCAUUCUUCCCACCCACUUCAUUCCCAAUAUGUCAUCUCAUAUGAAUAUAAUUAAAUUACUGAUACUGAUGCUGAAAAGUCAUCACUGGAUUUCUGGACUGAUGGUACUCUGAAGUUAAGAAGAAACUGAGGGUGUGGACCUCUGAGUCAUUCACUGCAACUGUCUUCAUAUUCAGAAAGCACUGUUGUGGCAUGUUUGCAAAGAUUUCUUUGGAACCAACUCUGCACUUGAAAUUUCUUUAAAAGUAAGAGCAACUUAGACACUGCAGAAUAAGCAAAUAUCUUGAAGGCCACAUAAACAGGACAAGUAGGCCACUUCCAGCCUGGAAGAUGUGUGUUGAACACCUCUGGGUUAGGUUUUUCAACAUUUCAAACACUUUCUUUAAGGUUCACGAUCAUGAAAAGCCAAGAUAGCAUGUGGAUCAGUAAUUCCGUGUGUAGUUAGCCCAGGCAGAUACCACUUUUGGAAAUAAAUCUGAGCUACAACAUGAGAUCCAGGUCUGGACCUGAAUUGUACCAGAAUGCAGUGCUCAGAGCUGCGGCUUUGGUUCAUUUUAACAUAAAGGAAGAAAGUGGUUACAAAGGUAAGGUUUGAUGUGAACUCCCCUAAAUUUCAGUGUUAUUUGCUGCUGGAGUUCUUUCUGAGACCUUACUUCAAAUUGCUAUGUGAUUGCAUGGUGAUUGGAAAGGAUAAAGAUAGGUUGCUUUUAUUAAAGAUCUGUCAGUUGUGUUGACCGUGCAGGUACAGCCUGCAGAGAUCCAUGAGCUCUCUUUCCUGUCCUAAGGCAUAAAAAUACUGAAAAUUAAAGUUACUUUAUGUGAUUACUUCACGUGCUUCUGGCCAUGGCAUUCUAAGAAGCCUUUACAUGUGAGCACCUCGUAUAUGAAAGCGCGGUGUGCCAGUCUCAUCCUUUUCCCCGCGCUUCUGCCAUCCUGUGAUGUUGUCUCUCGGUCAGGCAGCGGGAAGCCAGACAGAUGUGGAGCACACAAGGAUUUCGGAGGAUAUAGUUACCCUGGCAACAAUGGCCACGUGGAAGCAGACAAAACUACUUCUGCACUCAUCGUGAGUUUUUGCCCUCUGGUCUAAAUGCCGCAGAUAAUGGAGUUGAAUGCUAUGCAUCUGAUUCUGAAUCUUAGUACCUGAUGGAAUUACAGCAAGCCACAGGAGCUGGAAGGGUCUGAAAACUGACAAAUGGCCUUUAGAGCAUAAUAAGAAAAGUUCUCUUUUUCCUGUGAAGUCACUGCUUUCACUAUGUUGUUGAGACAAAGCGGACUGAGAGACAAGGUUGAGAAUACAUUAUCUCUUCUACAGAUCAUGACAGUGACAUGACCAGUAGCAAUUAUAAUGGAGGAAAGAUAUUCUUUGUAUCUUUAAAUAAAUGAAAUAAAAUUGUGUAGAGAUGAGAAACUGCUCAAUGCUGACAGUGGACCCAGGGGAAUCAAAACUCCUUUCUUAAAUGCAUAUAGUUAAUAGAGUUUGGCAGUUUGUAUUUUAUAGUUUGUGAUAUUUACUCUUUUUACAUUGUUCCUUAUUACCUAUGUCAUCUGUAUGUUGUGUGGGAAUUGCAUAAUUUCUAUUCAUAGCUGUGUUCAUGGAUGAAAAUAGACUUCUAAAUUAAAAUAUUUUCCCAUAUUUGUGGUUUUCUAUCUCAUCUUACCCAGAAUCCUUUACUGAGAGACUAACCUGACCUGUCCUGUGUAGUUGCUUGAAAGACUUGAUAGUAAAGAUCCUCAUUUUCUCUACUA